GACGAACGCUGGCGGCGUGCUUAACACAUGCAAGUCGAACGGAAAGGCCCCUUUGGGGGUCCUCGAGUGGCGCACGGGUGAGUAACACGUGAGUAACCUGCCCUUGACUUCGGGAUAACUUCAGGAAACUGGGGCUAAUACCGGAUAGGAAUCCUUGCUGCAUGGUGGGGGUUGGAAAGCUUCGGCGGUUUUGGAUGGACUCGCGGCUUAUCAGCUUGUUGGUGGGGUAGUGGCUUACCAAGGCUUUGACGGGUAGCCGGCCUGAGAGGCGACCGGCCACAUUGGGACUGAGAUACGGCCCAGACGCCGACGGGAGGCAGCAGUGGGGAAUAUUGCACAAUGGGCGGAAGCCUGAUGCAGCAACGCCGCGGGCGGGAUGACGGCCUUCGGGUUGUAAACCGCUUUCAGCAGGGGCGAAGCUUGUGGUGACGGUACCUGCAGAAGAAGCACCGGCUAACUACGUG
rnacentral:rRNA from 1 species